rnacentral:tRNA from 1 species
CGGGGUAUAGGUUAUAUAAACUGGCGGGUUCAUGGCCCGUUGUUACAAUUUGUUGCCCCCG